UGUUGGAAUAGAUGUGUCACUGUGGGCAUGGGCUUUAAGACCCUCACGCUAGCUGCCUGGGAGACAAUAUUCUGCUAUCAGCCUUCAGAUGAAGAUGUAGAACUCUCACCUAUCCUGUACCACGCCUGCCUGGAUGCUGCCCUGUUCCCACUUUGAUGAUGAUGAACUGGUCCUCUGAACCUGUAAGCCAGCCCCCAUUAAAAGCCAUCCUUAUAAGAGUUGCCUUUGUCAUGGUGUCUCUUCACUGCAGUAAAUCCUUAACUAAGACACCCCCACACACACACUUUUUGUUUUGGGGUUUUGGUCUUUGGGUUUUUGUAUUUGUUUUUUUGGAGGGGGGUUCAAGAUGUUUUCUCUGUGUAACAGCUCUGGCUGUCCUGAAACUCACCUUGUAGACCAGGGUGAGUCUACAAGAUUCACCUGCCUCUGCUGUGGGAGUGCUGGGAUUAAAGGCGAGUGCCCAGCACCAAACCCCAUCCAUUUUAAUGUCAUAUAUUCUGACACAAUUGUCAUGAAUUUGUAGGAAGCGAUAGCUUGAAAUUUAAAAAGGUAUUCAGUGCAAUUUCCAACAGCCAGUAAUCAAGCCCAGAAAGAUGACUUCUUAGUUUCCCUUCCUGGUGCUGUGAUAAAAUACUCCGCCUAAUGAAAGAGGCUACGGUAGAAAGGACCAAUUGUUAGGCACUGAUUUAUUGAUCUGUUUAGUGAUUUACUUACAUUGCUGCCUGGAACAGAAUGACCUGGAGAGACAGUUGAAACAAGGGAGCAUUGUCCAUACCAACCUGCUGACUGGCACUUCUGUAAAAUCUUGCUUGUUUGCCCUGUACAUCCUUGUGGUUUCAAAGCUGUGGUUCACACCCUUCCUAAUGUUGUGACCCUUUAAUGUAGUUCCUAAAAUCAGGGUUGCUGUUUCAGAGUCUAAAACGAGAAUACAAACUGGACCCAGGACUGAGGCGUUUCACAAGAUGUCCUGGCUUCAGUCUACCAGUGACAUCUCCUCUCUUCCACUCUCAUUGGUGUCAGGGUGCUUAUUCCACAAAGAUUCCUGCACCAUGAAAGUAACUUAAGAGAGAAAAGGUUUAUGCUAGCUUACAGGUCAAGGAAGGUACAGUCUAUCACCGUGGGAAAGUAAACGCAAUAGGAGCCUAAAGUUGCUAGACUUACUACACCCACAGUCAGAGGCAGGAAGUGAUGAGUGCAUGCUGUCGUCCAGCUCCACUUUCAUCUAGGGAAUGGUGCCACCCACAGUGGGCGGAUCUUCCCACUUUAAUGUAAUCAAGGUAAUUCUCAGCUGGUAUGCUCAGAGGUCUGUCUCCCAGGUGAUUUCAGAUUCUGUCAAGUUGAUAAUGAACACCAUCAAUCACAGAAAAUAACAGGAAAAAAAAACCCAUGGUGUAUAAAUACCAUAUUUUUUAAAUUUACAUUUAUUUAUUUUGUUCAUGUGAAGGUCAGAAUACAAUGUAUGGUAAUCACUUCUCUCCUACUGUGUGCGUUCUGGUUGUUAGCCCUUGGCAGCAAGCAUGCUUACCUGUUGAGCCAUCUCACUGACCCUAAUACUACCUACCUCUUAAAACAAAUUAAAACCGUAGAUAAACAAAGAGCACAGUGGGAACUGCUUUCUCUCUGUGUGUCUCCCUUGACCUUGAUUUGAUUUCUGGAAUCCAUAUAACGGGGGAAGGGGAAAGCUGAUUCCACUGAGGGGUCCUCUGACCAUAACCUAUCUAUGACAUGCAUGUGCAUGCUCUUACACACACAGCUAAAAAUAACACUUUUGAAGGGGAUAACAAAGCUAUUAUCUGAUGGCUAUUUUUUUAAAAAUUGCUUAGCUGAAAACUACAUAAAUGUGUCCACUUUUGUAUUCUCUAUCUUUAAAACCAAAACCAAACCAAACCAGAAAGUCCAGAAUUUUUUCAUAAUUUGUUCUUCCUACGAUGAACUGUUUCUAGUUUGUUCCACUAGAGCAGCGGUUCUCAAUCUGUGGGUCUUGACGCCUUUCACAGGGGUGGCCCAAGACCAUCCAAAAACACAGGUUUAACUUUACAAUUCACAGCAGUAGCAAAAUUACAGUUAUAAAAUAGCAAUAAAACUAAUUUUAUAGUUGGAGUGUUGUGCCAGGAAGAUUUUAUGAACCCCAAAAGACCACGAAAGAGCCGACUUCAAUGUAAAGCAGCCCUGAACUCUCAUUGAGACAAGGUUUUAUAGGAAAAUGGGAGCAAGCUGGGGGUGGGGGGGCAGGUUUCCAUCCUGGUAAGCAUCUAACUGAAUGCCUAUAUUAAGCCAACAGGUGGGUGCUCUGAAGCAAGAAGGUAUACAGUCAGGAAGGGUCUGAAAGUACGUCUGAAACAAUCAGACUAAGCUUUGAUUAACUGUUGCUAAGAAGAAGCUAGGGAGGAACUCUGGCCAAGGGCAAGCCAUGGGGUCCUUCCUGGUACUUGGGUUUAGCUGCAGGUCAAGUUCUCAGGCUUUCUGUUUUUCUUUUAAGAUGAGGGUGGUUCCAAGAUGGAGUAGGUUUGCCCUCUGGCGGGGAAGGGGGGGGGGGCGUGUCACAACUUGAGGAACUGUGUUAAAGGGUCACAGCAGCGUUAGAAAGGCUGAGAACCACUGCAUUAGAGAGAUUCUCUCCCAGCCCUCUUUGCCUGUGAUACAUCAUCUAUGAUUAUUAAAAGGAAAGAGAAGGGAGGUGUUGCUUUCUUUUUCAGGUAAGAAAACAGAAAGU
rnacentral:lncRNA from 1 species